rnacentral:tRNA from 1 species
GCCUGGGUGGCUCAGUCGGUUGAGCGUCUGACUUCAGCUCAGGUCACGAUCUCGCGGUCCGUGAGUUCGAGCCCCCGCGUCGGGCU